rnacentral:lncRNA from 1 species
UUCAUGGAUUUUCCUGUUGAUGUAGAUGGAAGAGAGUUCAUCUUUUCUGCUUGUGUGUCUGCUCUGGUGUAUAGAGGUGGUUUCAGGGGUGCAAAACGUUUUAAAUAGGUAUCUUUUAACCUAGUUGGAGAGGGAAUAUUCUCCUGCUCCUGGAUUUUCGCUGCGGCGCGAAUAUCGAUCGAUGUUCCUGUAUGGGUGUCGAUCGAUGUGAGCGGUUGUUUUGCUGGACGAGGGUGGGUAUCGACCGAUGUGGAGUGCACUUCGUCGAGCGAUGUUGGAAACAUGGUGGUGAACUUAUGUGUUUCAAGACUUUCAUCCUGCAAAGACAU